UUUUUCUCUUGCUACUUUCAAGUUUUCUCUUUGGCUUUUACUUUCAUGAAUUUGAUUAUUUCUAAAUUUGACUAUGAUGGAUUUAUUCUACUUGGAGUACANUUUGUCUUUUUAAGGCUGUGCCCACGGCAUAUGGAGUAUACUUACUUUGUGGUUUUUCCACAUGUCUCAAAGCUCUGUUCAUUUUCAUUUUCUUUCUACUCCUCAUAUUGGAUAAUCUCUAUCAAGCUCCUUCAAGUUGACUAAUACUUUCUUCUACCAACUCAUAUCUGUUACUGAGCCCUUCCAGUAAACUCUUCAUUUUAGUUAUCAUGCUUUUAAAUUGCAAAAUUUCUAUAUGGUUCUUUUAAAGUAAUUUCUAUGCUUAACGAUACUCUCUUUGGUAAGAUACCAAGUUAGUACUUUCCUUUAAUUCUUUAGACAUGGUUUCAUUUAGUUCUUUAAAUAUAUUUAUAGCAGCUGACAAGGUCCUUGUCUUUUAAGCCCAAAUCUAAGCUCCAACACUUUUGCGUUGGCUGGUGGUAUGUAUGUAUGUAUGCAUGCAUGUAUUUUGACUUUUUUCUUGUGUAUGUAGCAUACUUUCCUAUUUCUUGCAUGUCUAAUAAUUUUUGUGUUGAAAACAAGAGCUUUUGGAUAACACUGUUUAAUAAUUCUGGUAUGAGAAUCCUUCACACUGACCUAUAAGAUUUUUUUUAUCACCAAUUUUGUUCUUUUCCUUGGAGCUGCUUAUUUGUUUAGCACUUUCAUGAACUAAUUCUGUAUUCCUUGUAUUUCAUGCCCACUGAGUAUUCGUCUAGAUUUUUUUUAAACACCUAUCUUCAAACUUUAGGACUUUUAGAAGAUAGCCCUAGUUUUCACUUUCUGCUUGUACGGGUGGUGAUCUCCUUUCCCAGGUCUUUCUUGGGCAUAUGCAUAAUCUUGCACAUCAGCAAUCUCUGAGAUAUCGAAGAAUAUGUAGGGACUUUUCAAAGUUCCCUAUGGUUAGCUAAUCCUCCAAGAUUUCCUUUUAAAUUCAUGGCCAGGCUCUUGUUUGCCCUAAUGGAAAUCACAGCCUUAAAGAGUGGAGAUGUUACCAAUAUCUGCUAUUGUUUCAGCAAAUCCCUGGCAGUAGGCCCUUCCAGCCACUCCCCCAAACUGAGCUGAGCUCUGAGUCCAAUCAAGAGCCAACCAUUCCAUAAGAAAUGAGUUUUCCCAGGGAGAUACAAGUUCAGACAAUUCUUAACUAUGCUCUAGGGCUGGUGCUUUUAAUGGAUCUCCAAAAGUGGUCAGAUACCUCCACUGUCUGCAAUGCUAUCAGCUUUUGCUAUACCAUAAGCUGGGAAAGGAGGGGAGAUGGGAGUGGCCACAAGUUAGACACCACUGUCUUCCCAAGGUUCAGUAGAUUUCUACUGGACAGAUGAUUUUCAGUGCAUUCUCUGGCUUUGAUCAAUUUCCAGAAUUCUGCAGUAAUUGAUUUUAGUUGUUUGGUUCAUGUUUCUGUUGUUUUAGAGAGAGAGUACACUGAGGAUCUUGCUCCAGCAAUCUGGAAGCCAAUCAAGCUCUGUAGUAUUUUAAAUCUAUCUUUAUUUUUUCAAAAAAAAAAAAAAAAGCACUUUAACAACAAAAUUGGGAGUUCCUACUAUGGCACACUGGGUUAAGAACUAACUGCAGCAGUUUAGGUCACUGGGGAGGCAACAGCUUCAAUUCCCAGCCCAGAGAAGUGGGUUAAAGGAUUCAGUGUUGCUUCAACUGCAGUGUUGGUCACAGCUGCAGCUUGGAUUCAAUCUCAGCCCAGGAAUUUCCAUAUACCAUGGUAUAGCCAUAAAAUAAUGAAAUGUUUUUUAAAAUUAUAUUUUUCAAUUUUUAGAUCACUCUUACCUCUAGUAGAAACUUGUAAAACAUUUUGUAAAUUUUUAAGUUUUAGAAUUUUAUGAGUUUUAAUUAGAAAAUUAAAAAUUUUUAAUUUUUAAUUAUAAAAUAUGUAAUAAUUUAUUAUUUAUUUACAGUUAAAUAGGAAGAAACUUAUCUGUGAGAGGGAAAAAUAAGAUAAACUGCAUAAGUAAGGUCUCACUGUAGUAUAUCCUUCCAGUUAAAUAACACAUGAAUGAUUAGAAAUAAAGAUGAUUCCUCAUCUUAGUUCUACUCUCAGCUCCAAAAAGCCUCCCAAGUCCAUCUGGACCAAAGAAACAAGUUCAAGUGGGAAAGAAAGACUAUUCCAUUUUGUCUUACUUGGUUGACACAGGCCAACUCCAAUUCAACUCUGAUAGGAAUUAAAAGAGCCACAAAAGCCUAGAAAUGGGAAAUUCAACAGAGAAGAGGAAUCAAUCUUCAACAUAGGAAGAAAUACUAUCUCCUGAGAUUUCUGAAGAGACACAGCACAGGGAGAUUACAUUUACCACAGGUUUACCCAAGUACCAGCCAAAUUUGUGCACUUAAGAUAUAGUAAGAUGAGCUUCUGGAAAGGAAAAGAGUUAAUUAUUAUUAUUAUCUCUCCUCAACACUGCCUGACAUUGGUAAUCCACAGAAAGACCAAAACUGUCAAAAUAGGGCAAGAAAGGUAAACAACCUUUAGCAAGGCUUUGAUUUUCAAGAACACUGCCAUGCUUCUCUGCUUUUCUACUGUUGUAUAACAAACCACCCCAAAAUUUACUGCUAAAAAAAAGAAAAAAAAAAGCAUUUUAUUUGCUCAUAAUUAUGAAACCUGGGCUAGGUUCAGCUACGCAAUUCUGCUCAUCUUACUAGUGGUCACUCAUACAAUUGCUUUUGGCUGGCAGGUAGGAACAGGGCUUGGCUAGAAUACUAGGUUUAGGGUGGCUGGGGUUCUGUCUACAUAUAAUCUCAGAGUCUCUCUCACCAUGAGGCCUCAUUUCCACAUGAUCUCUCCAGGAAAGUAGCCAGAUUUCUGACAUAAUGGCUUUAGGUCUUCCAAAAACAUAAAAGCAAAAGCUACCUGGACUUCUUAAGGCUUAUGCUAAGACUUCAAACAGCUCUAUCUCUGCUGCAUUCUGUUUGUUAAAAUAAGCUACAGGCCCAGUCCAGAUUGAAAAGAAAAGGACUUCACAUGGGUGUGAAUACCCACAGGUGUUGUUCAUUGUAACCACCAUCAACACAAUAGGCUACUUAAACAUUAAAGACAAUGUUCAGAUGACUGAAAUGGGAGUAACCAUAAGAAACUAAAACAGCUUUAGCUGCUAAAUGAAGACCAUCUAUUUUCUGUUCUUUCCCAUACUGAAGGUCAAUCUAAGUUCAGUGAGAAUCUUAAUUUUAGGUGGAAGGGAAAUGAAUCUGAUUAAUCACUUGUAAGCCAAGGGAUCUUGGACAAGUCUAUCAUUCUCUCCAAGCCUGAACUCCUCAACUGUAAAAUGGAAAAUUACACAGGUGCUGCUUAUCCUAUAGGAAGAGUAUACAGAAAAAAAUAAACAAGAAAUGAGAAAGAGUUCUGAAAACAAAAAUGCUAUACAAAUAUAAGUAUUUAUCUGACAGGGACCUAAGUAUAGUCAAUCUAGCUAAGCUCCAGUCUAUUAAUAAAAUUAGAACAAUGAUAGUUAAUUACCCCAUAUGCUAAAUUACUACCACAGAAAUAAUAUUAUAUACAGUAACAAGCUGAAAUCAUGUUUCGUUACUAUAAAGAACAAAAACAAUAAUACUAUGACUUACUGUCAUCUAAUUAUAUAUGUCAGGUGCUGCUAAAUACUUCAUGUAAACUAUAACUAACCCUUACAAUAACUCAACAAAGUAGGUAUUAUUCCUCUUUUACAAAUAAAUUACCUGAGUCAAAAAUUGACUACUUAAAGUAACUUGCCAAUGGUCACACGACUACGAUUAUACAUUAAAAUGAAUGUUUAGUGUAUAAUAGACAGUUGAUAAGCAUUUUUCAUCUAAAUAAAAUAAAAAUAAAGCCAGAACUAUCUGGAUUUAAAGUAAGUCUUUCAAUUCCAUCAAAAUAUCUCUCUAUCCCAAUCCUUAUUUUUUUAUGCAGUCAUUGAAACUGUAAUUACAGCAAACAUACCUAAUCAACAUGAGAAAUUCAUCAAUUUUCUCAUCUGCAAAAUGGCUUCCACUCUGAAAAGUACCUUCAUUUUUUAAAAACUCUAAUCUUUGAUCCAUCUACUGAGUCAUGAGUUAUAAUGGUCAUAUGAUAAUGUGGAACUAUCAACUGAAAAAAAGUGACAUAUUUACAUACUAAAAUAUUUCUAAAACAAAAAAGGAAAUAUUUUAAAUGGUAAAAUAUAUGGAGUAAGAGUUCAUAAAAGUUCAUAUCCUUGUAUUUCAAAGAAAUCUUUAAAUUUAAAAGAAGGAAGGAGAAGGAAGAGAGACAUUGCCCAAAAGGAAAAUGUGCUAAGGAUAUAAAUGGACAAAUGGCUAAUACAUUUCUUUAAAAUUUGGUAUUAGUUAUCAAAGAAAUGCAAAUGCAAGUGAGAUUUUUUUUUUUUUCAAUUAUCAGACUGGAAAAAAUACAAAACAAAUUACAAAGAAUAAUCACGUCUAGUGUCAGAGAACACAGAAAGAAAUGAAACAAUAAAAUGUUACUUAUGGAAGUAUAAAAUGGCAGGACUAGAGAGCAAUUUGAUAGUUGAUAAAAACAUUCAACAUGUACCUCGCUUUCUACCCAGCAAUUCCAUUCCUAAGAACUCAUACCAAGAAUACAACUGGAUGUUGCCCAAAAGUGUACCUACAAUAAUUAAUCAUAAACCCAAAUACAGAAUAUGAUACCUAAAUGUCUAGCUAGAGAGCUGCUUGAGUUGAUAUACUCAAACAAUGUCAAUAAGAAUGCAUAAGAUAUUAUUUACAAUCAUGAGAAGAUAAGUGGCAAAGUUUGUUUUUGUUUUUUUUUUUUUGGUCUUUUUGCCUUUUCUAGGGCCACUCCUACGGCAUAUGGAGGUUCCCAGCCUAGGGGUCGAACCAGAGCUA
rnacentral:lncRNA from 1 species